rnacentral:rRNA from 1 species
AACGAACGCUGGCGGCAGGCUUAACACAUGCAAGUCGAGCGCCCCGCAAGGGGAGCGGCAGACGGGUGAGUAACACGUGGGGAUCUGCCCAAUGGUACGGAAUAGCUCCGGGAAACUGGAAAUAAUACCGUAUGUGCCCGCAAGGGGAAAGAUGUAUCGCCAUUGGAUGAACCCGCGUCGGAUUGGCUGGUUGGUGUGGUAAAGGCGCACCAAGGCGACGAUCCGUAGCUGGUCUGGGAGGAUGAGCAGCCACACUGGAACUGAGACACGGCCCAGACUCCUACGGGAGGCAGCAGUGGGUAAUAUUGGACAAUGGGCGCAAGCCUGAUCCAGCCAUGCCGCGUGAGUGAUGAAGGCCUUAGGGUUGUAAAGCUCUUUCGCCGACGAGGAUAAUGACGGUAGUCGGAGAAGAAGCCCCGGCUAACUUCGUGCCAGCAGCCGCCGUAAGAC